AUUGAACGCUGGCGGCAUGCCUUACACAUGCAAGUCGAACGGUAACGGGCCUUCGGGUGCCGACGAGUGGCGAACGGGUGAGUAAUGCAUCGGAACGUACCUUUCAGUGGGGGAUAACGUAGCGAAAGUUACGCUAAUACCGCAUAUUCUGUGAGCAGGAAAGCAGGGGAUCGCAAGACCUUGCGCUGAUUGAGCGGCCGAUGUCAGAUUAGCUAGUUGGUGAGGUAAAGGCUCACCAAGGCGACGAUCUGUAGCGGGUCUGAGAGGAUGAUCCGCCACACUGGAACUGAGACACGGUCCAGACUCCUACGGGAGGCAGCAGUGGGGAGUUUUGGACAAUGGGGGGCAACCCUGAUCCAGCCAUGCCGCGUGAGUGAAGAAGGCCU
rnacentral:rRNA from 1 species